rnacentral:rRNA from 1 species
AUUGACCGGACCAAGUAGCAUAAUCAUUUGUCUUUUAAUUAAAGGCUUGUAUGAAUGGUUGGAUGAGAUAUAAUCUAUUUUUAUUUAAUUAAAAAUGAAUUUUAAUUUUUAGUAAAAAUGCUAAAAUAAAAAAUAUAGACGAGAAGACCCUAUAAAUCUUUAUUAUUUUUUUAUUAAUUUAUUAAUAGAAUAUAAAAUUUAUUAAUAAAAAAAUAAUUUUAUUGGGGUGAUAAUGAAAUUUAAUAAACUUUUGUUUUAUUUUAUAAAUAUAAUUAAUUUAAUGAUCCAUUUUUAAUGAUUAUAAAAUUAAGUUACUUUAGGGAUAACAGCGUAAUUAUUUUAAAGAGUUCAUAUCGAUAAAAUAGUUUGCGACCUCGAUGUUGAAUUAAGAGUAAGUUUAGGGUAGAACUC